rnacentral:rRNA from 1 species
AGGGUUCGAUUCUGGCUCAGGAUGAACGCUGGCGGCGUGCCUAAUACAUGCAAGUCGAACGAGGUGGAAGGGAGCUUGCUCCUGGAUACCGAGUGGCGAACGGGUGAGUAACACGUAGGUAACCUGCCCUUAAGCUUGGGAUACCCAGAGGAAACUUUGGCUAAUACCGGAUAACAACAGAGGAGGCAUCUCCUUUGCUUGAAAGGCCCUUCAAAGGGUCACUUAAGGAUGGACCUGCGGCGCAUUAGCUAGUUGGUGAGAUAAAAGCCCACCAAGGCGAGGAUGCGUAGCCGACCCGAGAGGGUGAUCGGCCACAUUGGAACUGAGACACGGUCCAAACUCCUACGGGAGGCAGCAGUAAGGAGUUUUCGGCAAUGGGGGAAACCCUGACCGAGCAACGCCGCGUUGAGUGAUGACGGCCCUAUGGGUUGUAAAGCUCUGUUGUAAGGGACGAACGAUCGUUUAGGAAAUGAAACGGUUCUGACGGUACCUUACCAGAAAGCCACGGCUAACUACGUGCCAGCCGCCGC